GAGCUUUUACAGUCAGACUACAGUACAUGUACAGUACAGUACAGUCAGUGAUGGAGACCACUACGGUUCCCGUUUCGAUGACCCCAGCUACUCUAGCUCUACAAACCCCAACAAGGAUUUUACACAAUGACACCUGUAUGGCUUCCAGUAUUGAAUCAGUGGACACCAUUCUACUGGGAGUCUCUGUAAUAGCAGCUGCUGUGAUGAUACUGCUAAUUAUAAUAGUGGUGCUCCGCUUCAUGGCCCAUCAGAAAGGUACAUAUUACACCCAUGAGGAGGCUUUAGCAUUUAAGGGAGACCCUGAGGUGCAAGACUUCACCGAAGAUUCAGAAGCUCUGGAAGAUCUGGAAGAGCCAGAAGAUCUGGAAGAGCCAGAAGAUCAAGAAGAUCAAGAAGAUCCAGAAGAUCCGGAAGAGCCAGAAGAUCAAGAAGAUCCAGAAGAUACGGAAGAGCCAGAAGAUCAAGAAGAUCCAGCAGAUCCAGAAGAUCCGAAAGAUCCGGAAGACCCGGAAGAUCCUGAAGAAGGUAAGAGGCUGCUUAACUUCCAUUAUUUCCCACUCUUGCUUGGACUGAACACUGCCUGCAAAAAAAAAAAAACAACAACAUAUUAAUAACUUUUUGUCAAUGAGAGCAGUCAUAUUUCUCAUAAUAGUGUCGAAAAUCUGUUUUGCAGAGGAGCCUUAGUAUCUUCUGGCGGGAAGCCUUUUGGGACGUUUCCUGUGUGAAAUGUAUCAAU
ensembl:lncRNA